UCCUUGGUGGCUCAGAUGGUAAAGCGUCUGUCUGCAAUGUGGGAGACCCGGGUUCGAUCCCUGGGUAGGGAA
rnacentral:tRNA from 1 species